rnacentral:rRNA from 1 species
CCUACGGGCGGCAGCAGUGGGGAAUAUUACACAAUGGGCGCAAGCCUGAUGCAGCCAUGCCGCGUGUGUGAAGAAGGCCUUCGGGUUGUAAAGCACUUUCAGCGGGGAGGAAGGCGGUGAGGUUAAUAACCUCAUCGAUUGACGUUACCCGCAGAAGAAGCACCGGCUAACUCCGUGCCAGCAGCCGCGGUAAUACGGAGGGUGCAAGCGUUAAUCGGAAUUACUGGGCGUAAAGCGCACGCAGGCGGUCUGUCAAGUCGGAUGUGAAAUCCCCGGGCUCAACCUGGGAACUGCAUUCGAAACUGGCAGGCUAGAGUCUUGUAGAGGGGGGUAGAAUUCCGGGUGUAGCGGUGAAAUGCGUAGAGAUCUGGAGGAAUACCGGUGGCGAAGGCGGCCCCCUGGACAAAGACUGACGCUCAGGUGCGAAAGCGUGGGGAGCAAACAGGAUUAGAUACCCCAGUAGUC